UUUGAAGGUGACUGUUUAACCAACCGUGAUCUCACAUGUGCUAAACUGCUCCAUAGCGUUUUGUUCAAAGCUCUCGUGGAUAUUUUCUCGAUGUUUCUUAUCUAUGAGUUUAUGGCAUUGGGUAAUGCCUCUUUUUGUAAUCCUAUAAACUUUGGGGUCUUUGAAUCCUUAUCCUUGUACUUGAUUUAGUUUGAAUGAAUGAAAUCAUGUGUUUUUCCAAAAAAAAAAUAAAAAAUAA
rnacentral:lncRNA from 1 species